UGAGUAUGAAAGAUGGUCAAACCACAAGAAAUGAUGGAUCCCCUGGUCAAAUGAAUUCACCCCAGUAUCAUAGUGUGGAUUGCACCAUUUGAUCCAACUAAGAAGGAGGAGGAGGUUAUUCAAGAUGUCAACUGUAAGUACUUUUUAAAAUUCUUUUUUUACUAAGAUAAUGCGAUUAGUGAUCCGAUCCUCUUUGUAUUAACUAUGAACUUAAUAACAAGCAUUAAAUAGUGUGAUUAUAUAAACCAUUAAAAGUACUUUAACGAACCACUAGCCCGCCGUAACUUAGAAAUUACACUACAUCAGUUUAUGAGCAGCAUCUGGUUAUG
rnacentral:lncRNA from 1 species